rfam:Schistosoma rodhaini strain Burundi genome assembly, scaffold: SROB_scaffold0003982
AUCCAGCUGACGAGUCCCAAAUAGGACGAAACAAACAUCCUGGAU